UAAGAAAUGAUGUUUUAGCAUGUUAAGCUGUUAACUUAAAUGGGUAAAAAUUUUUACUUUCUUAG
rnacentral:tRNA from 1 species